rnacentral:rRNA from 1 species
AUUGAACGCUGGCGGCAGGCCUAACACAUGCAAGUCGAACGGUAACAGGAAGAAGCUUGCUUCUUUGCUGACGAGUGGCGGACGGGUGAGUAAUGUCUGGGAAACUGCCUGAUGGAGGGGGAUAACUACUGGAAACGGUAGCUAAUACCGCAUAACGUCGCAAGACCAAAGAGGGGGACCUUCGGGCCUCUUGCCAUCGGAUGUGCCCAGAUGGGAUUAGCUUGUUGGUGGGGGAACGGCUCACCAAGGCGACGAUCCCUAGCUGGUCUGAGAGGAUGACCAGCCACACUGGAACUGAGACACGGUCCAGACUCCUACGGGAGGCAGCAGUGGGGAAUAUUGCACAAUGGGCGCAAGCCUGAUGCAGCCAUGCCGCGUGUAUGAAGAAGGCCUUCGGGUUGUAAAGUACUUUCAGCGGGGAGGAAGGGAGUAAAGUUAAUACCUUUGCUCAUUGACGUUACCCGCAGAAGAAGCACCGGCUAACUCCGUG